rnacentral:rRNA from 1 species
AGUGAACGCUGGCGGUAGGCCUAACACAUGCAAGUCGAACGGCAGCACAGUAAGAGCUUGCCCUUACGGGUGGCGAGUGGCGGACGGGUGAGGAAUACAUCGGAAUCUACUCUUUCGUGGGGGAUAACGUAGGGAAACUUACGCUAAUACCGCAUACGACCUACGGGUGAAAGCAGGGGAUCUUCGGACCUUUCGCGAUUGAAUGAGCCGAUGUCGGAUUAGCUAGUUGGCCGGGUAAAGGCCCACCAAGGCGACGAUCCGUAGCUGGUCUGAGAGGAUGAUCAGCCACACUGGAACUGAGACACGGUCCAGACUCCUACGGGAGGCAGCAGUGGGGAAUAUUGGACAAUGGGCGCAAGCCUGAUACAGCCAUACCGCGUGGGUGAAGAAGGCCUUCGGGUUGUAAAGCCCUUUUGUUGGGAAAGAAAAGCAGCAGGUUAAUACCCCGCUGUUCUGACGGUACCCAAAGAAUAAGCACCGGCUAACUUCGUG